AACGAACGCUGGCGGCAGGCCUAACACAUGCAAGUCGAGCGAAGCCUUCGGGCUUAGCGGCGGACGGGUGAGUAACGCGUGGGAACGUGCCCUUUGGUACGGAAUAGCCCCGGGAAACUGGGAGUAAUACCGUAUGUGGUCGAGAGACGAAAGAUUUAUCGCCAAAGGAUCGGCCCGCGUUGGAUUAGGUAGUUGGUGGGGUAAUGGCCUACCAAACCGACGAUCCAUAGCUGGUUUGAGAGGAUGAUCAGCCACACUGGGACUGAGACACGGCCCAGACUCCUACGGGAGGCGGCAGUGGGGAAUCUUAGACAAUGGGGGAAACCCUGAUCUAGCCAUGCCGCGUGAUCGAUGAAGGCCUUAGGGUUGUAAAGAUCUUUCAGUGGGGAAGAUAAUGACUGUACCCACAGAAGAAGCCCCGGCUAACUCCGUGCCAGCCGCCGCGGUAACAC
rnacentral:rRNA from 1 species